AAUCUAAAUCCAAAAGUAUUAUUUUUUUUCAGGCUAAGCAUGAGUUUCUUUCAUUUUUCAGUCCUGAGCCAAGUCUUUACUCUCUGAAGAUGUCAUUAAAACCACCUCAAAGUCUCUCUGCUUCACACUGUGAUUUUCAGGAAUUGCUUAAAGAUUCAUCCUUCUCCUGAGGGACAGAGCACGGAGGAGGAUCUGAAUUUGUUCAAGGUGGUAGCUGUUAUCCAAGACCAGUAAGGACCUGAUGGCAGCAAGAAUGUCGAGAUACCUAUAGCCAUGCAGAGCUGGAAUAAGUUUAUGGUGUAUAGCUUAAUUGUAUCUCAUUUGAUGGAAGAACUGGAUGGAAAAGCAAGACAUUAGCGUCUUCCAAUUCGAUGGGAUUUUAUAUAAUAGAGCAUUGAUUCCAUGCUAACUUUCAUGUUUAUUACUGACUUCACUGCUGUGAAAUCAGCAAAGGUUAACUGUCUGGACAGCUGUGAGUCAAGCCUUCAAGCCAUGCUGCUUUAUCUGAUUGGUCUCAGACUUGAUCUGGCACAUGAAAGGAAAUGUGAGGAAGUUUCAAGCAGGGAUCAUUUUGCAAGUCCAGAGCUGAGGGUGAGGUCAAGUUCACUCACAUUUUUGGAGUAUCACAUUUCAAACAUAAAGUGCCAUGCAUAUAGCAUGAGGGUUGGUGGAGCAAUGGUUUAA
rnacentral:lncRNA from 1 species